rnacentral:lncRNA from 1 species
GUGGCCUCAAAAUACUGACUCGUGGCCUCAAGAUACUAACUCGUGGCCUCAAGAUAAGUAACUCGUGGCCUCAAGAUACUAACUCGUGGCCUCAAGAUAAGUAACUCGUGGCCUCAAGAUACUAACUCGUGGCCUCAAGAUAAGUAACUCUUGGCCUCAAGAUACUAACUCGUGGCCUCAAUAUACUAACUCUUGGCCUCAAGAUAAGUAACUCGUGGCCUCAAGAUAAGUAACUCGUGGCCUCAAGAUACUAACUCGUGGCCUCAAGAUAAGUAACUCGUGGCCUCAAGAUACUAACUCGUGGCCUCAAGAUAAGUAACUCGUGGCCUCAAGAUACUAACUCGUGGCCUCAAGAUACUAACUCGUGGCCUCAAGAUACUCGUGGCCUAAUUGCACUAUUAACAAACCAUUAACUAUGACUUUUACCUAACUAAACUCAUAAUUUGCUGCUUAUUAAUAAUUAGUAAGGUUUUUGUUAAAUUUAAGUAUUAGGUUGGAUAAGGUAUGUAGAAUAUGGCCAUGCAAAUAUAUGUGCUUUAUAAGAACUUAUAAACAGCCAAAUAGUUAAUAGUGAGAAUUGGUCCCUAUACUAAAGUGUUCCCGGACUGCAGUUCACAUUACACAUUCCCUAUAUGUCAGUGUUUGCAUUCUGUACAUGCAUGGUGAACACAACUCGUUUUUGACAUUUUGUUCAUAGGCUGUGGUGAAUAUUCUGAAGCAGAAAGAUAGAGAGGCCAACCCAGACAAUCUAAUAGAGUAUCUCAGACCGUUUCGCAUCAUCAUUCGCCUGUUGGACAAAUCUGAAAUAGGACCAUUGGUGUUGUCUGAUGUGUUGCUAGAGGUGGUCAGAGCUUUUUAUAACUACUGUAAAGUGUCCCCAUAGAUUAA